GUAGGGUGGCAAGCGUUGUCCGGAAUUAUUGGGCGUAAAGCGCGCGCAGGCGGUCCUUUAAGUCUGAUGUGAAAGCCCACGGCUCAACCGUGGAGGGUCAUUGGAAACUGGGGGACUUGAGUACAGAAGAGGAAAGCGGAAUUCCAAGUGUAGCGGUGAAAUGCGUAGAGAUUUGGAGGAACACCAGUGGCGAAGGCGGCUUUCUGGUCUGUAACUGACGCUGAGGCGCGAAAGCGUGGGGAGCAAACAGGAUUAGAUACCCUGGUAGUCCACGCCGUAAACGAUGAGUGCUAAGUGUUAGGGGGUUUCCGCCCCUUAGUGCUGCAGCUAACGCAUUAAGCACUCCGCCUGGGGAGUACGGCCGCAAGGCUA
rnacentral:rRNA from 1 species